UGCUUUCGCUGGCAAACGCCAGUGCUCGCAUUUGAUUGGUCUAACGGCGUUUCUUUUGCGAAUUGAGAACACUCUGCAGUUUUAUUUUGGUUUCUGUGUAUUUUGUUGAUUAUUGUUGAUUAUUGUUGUUGGAUUUGGUGGUAUUAUGAUUAGGCAAGGUAUUAGGCAUUUUUCAGUCACACCAUUCCCGUGGUAUUAUGAGCUUAAUUACCGUUAUCACCUCAUCCACCGUCUGCUCAAUGUGUUCAUUGCUGGCAGUGGUUCAGGAGACAGUGGUUCGAUCCCAGCUGUAGAACGUCACCUGCAGGAAGUAGCAUUGUGAUGGCCAGCCACGAGGCGCGUUUAUCCAGCCACAUUGUCCAGAAACCAUCACGUCA